rnacentral:rRNA from 1 species
CACCCGAGACUCAGUGAAAUUGAAAUCGCUGUGAAGAUGCAGUGUACCCGCGGCUAGACGGAAAGACCCCGUGAACCUUUACUACAGCUUGGCACUGAACAUUGAACCUACAUGUGUAGGAUAGGUGGGAGACUUUGAAACCGCGUCGCUAGAUGUGGUGGAGUCGUCCUUGAAAUACCACCCUUGUAGUUUUGAUGUUCUAACGUUGGUCCCUGAAUCGGGAUUACGGACAGUGCCUGGUGGGUAGUUUGACUGGGGCGGUCUCCUCCCAAAGAGUAACGGAGGAGCACGAAGGUGGGCUAAACACGGUUGGACAUCGUGUGGUUAGUGCAAUGGCAUAAGCCCGCUUGACUGCGAGAAUGACAAUUCGAGCAGGUGCGAAAGCAGGUCAUAGUGAUCCGGUGGUUCUGAAUGGAAGGGCCAUCGCUCAACGGAUAAAAGGUACUCCGGGGAUAACAGGCUGAUACCGCCCAAGAGUUCAUAUCGACGGCGGUGUUUGGCACCUCGAUGUCGGCUCAUCACAUCCUGGGGCUGAAGUCGGUCCCAAGGGUAUGGCUGUUCGCCAUUUAAAGUGGUACGCGAGCUGGGUUUAGAACGUCGUGAGACAGUUCGGUCCCUAUCUGCCGUGGGCGUUGGAAAAUUGAAGGGGGCUGCUCCUAGUACGAGAGGACCGGAGUGGACGAACCUCUGGUGUUCGGGUUGUCAUGCCAAUGGCAUUGCCCGGUAGCUAAGUUCGGAAUCGAUAACCGCUGAAAGCAUCUAAGCGGGAAGCGAGCCCUGAGAUGAGUUUUCCCUGACACUUUAAGUGUCCUAAAGGGUUGUUCAAGACUAGAACGUUGAUAGGCAGGGUGUGUAAGCGCUGUGAGGCGUUGAGCUAACCUGUACUAAUUGCCCGUGAGGCUUAACCAUACAACACC